rnacentral:lncRNA from 1 species
CUCCAGCUCACUUUCCCUCUGCUCCUGUCAACCAGGAUUUCAGCACCCAAAUUAGUGCAAGGCCCCAACCCAAGGAAGCAUCAACUGAAUUGUCAGCCCAAUGAAUGACCCACCCUGGGGACAUGCUGUUAUAGCCCUGCCUCAGCUGUCACCUUCCUGUGGCCUUCCACUUUUCCUCAGCAUGAAGAGCUGCCAAAAACAGCAGUCAAAUUCUCCCUGAGGAAGAAGAAGCUGUGUUCAAGGCUUCUGCUCAUUCUUUCACCAAACUACCUUGCCUUCACAAAGGUGAGAAGGUGACACAAGCCCUCAAAUGCCAUGUUGGUGACCAAUCAUCAUCCUUUCAGUGGCUGUUCACAGACCCUACCAAGUCCCGCCCUAGUCAUGCAAUCCCAAAGAGUGUCUGACAUGGACACUCUGACAAGGUGGGCAAGAAGACAGAAGUAUGGAAUCAAGGCUGGAGAAAUGGGUGUGGGGCAAGAUCUUACAUCUUCAGAAUCUUACAUCAGUGUCCCAAGCACUCUACCUUGGAUCAUAAUGUAAAUAAUGGCUCUUCACGUGAAGUUUUGCAAGCUAAACAUCUUUACAGAACUCUGGGUAUGUUACAGAAACAUGGCUCUCCAAAAAUAUGGGUUCCUUUAAAAUUGCAUUUGGAGGGGCUAUCAUGAAACCUCCUCUCCU